AUUAGGGGGUAGAUCAUUCGGUUCACGGCAAUCACCGGGUUAUAGGGCGCGUACACAGCAAUCACCGGGUUAUAGGGCGCGUACACAGCAAUCACUGGGUUAUACUCAGGCUGUCUGCACUCACUCACUCCAUGCAGCCUGGCCAGUAAGCACACAUUCAGACUGUCUGCACUCACUCCAUGCAGCACUGUGACAAGACCAUUCUCGCCACUGUGCAUUG